rnacentral:rRNA from 1 species
UACGAAGGGGGCUAGCGUUGCUCGGAAUCAUUGGGCGUAAAGGGCGCGUAGGUGGUUCUGUAUGUCUACCGUGAAAGCGUACGGCUCAACCGUAUUUUGUCGGUAGAAACUGCAGGACUUGAGGCUGGGAGGGGCUGGUGGAAUUCCCUGUGUAGCGGUGAAAUGCGUAGAGAUGGGGGAGAACACUCGUGGCGAAGGCGGCCAGCUAGACCAGUUCUGACACUGAGGCGCGACAGCGUGGGGAGCAAACAGG